rnacentral:rRNA from 1 species
AGGUAGUAUCUUAAAACCAACGUUCAAUAAUGGCGGCUUAUCUUCUUAUUAGAGAAACCUGUCCCUUAAUCGUCAACACACGUUAAUUUUUUCUAAUAUUAAAAGUUUAUAUACCACCGUCACGCUAGAUUUAAUAAAACUAGCCUAAAAGAAUUAUCUAAAACUUCAGGUCCAGGUGUAACCCACAUAUUAGAGAGGAUAGGUUGCUUUAAACAUUAUUCAAGAAUAUAUUCUUUAAAUAAGAUUAUUGAAAAAGGAUUUAAAAGUAUUUCUAAGUUAAAAUACUAGAAAGAAUAAGAUUUAAAAGUGU